rnacentral:lncRNA from 1 species
UUUAAUUGAUGUGCCAUGUGCAUCCAGAUGUUCUAAACAUUGCAUUUCCCCCAAUUGCUCAGGCAGUCGCUCCAGCUUUCGACACUCUCCCAGGUAUAGUUGUUUAAGCAAUUUGAGCUUCCAUAUGCUAUCUGGAAGAUUUCUAAGGUUUUUGCACCAAUUCAAAUUAAGUGUCUCCAAAUUAAUGAGGCCUACAAAUGAAUCUGGUAAUUGUUCAAUUGCAGUAUUACCUGCACCAAAUCUCCUCAGGUUUUCCAGAUUCCCAAUAUGCUCAGGAAUAUUUCUAAGCUUCUUGCAACCAUACAAGUCCAACCCAAACAAUUCCUUCAGCUGAGUAAUUGAAUCUGGCAAUCGUGUAAUUGCAGAAAAACCUGCUUCAAGUUCCUUUAAGCCUUUCAUAUCACCCAAUUGCUCAGGCAACUUUGUAAGCUUCUUGCAAAAUCUCAAAUUCAGCUGAAUCAAUUUCUUGAGAUAAGUUACUGAAUCUGGCAGUUUCUCAAUUGCAGUACAACUCACAUCAAUCAUCUUUAGUCCUUUCAUUUCACCCAACUGCUCUGGUAGUCGUUUCAAGUCACCGCAUUUGCUCAGAUACAAACAACCCAGACUAUUAAAUUGUUUGAAAGGCUGUUUCACAUAAUAAAAGUUAGCAAAGAUUGAAAAUAUUCUAAAUUCGAACAAAGUGCAAGAAAAAUUUAUUUUUAGAAAUAGUUCCCGUAGUUUCUUUUUUUUUUUUUUAACAAAAACUUUAUCUACAAUCUUUUACAAAAAGAGAAAUAAGUAUGAUAAAAAAUGUAUUGAAGCAUCUAUGUAAAAAUAUACUAUAAAUAUCAAGUAUUGAAAUAAAAAAUUAUAUUAUCUCAUACCAUGGGACUCUUCCACAACACCUUGAAUUUACUCGACGGCAUAUCAAUCGAGAUUAGAUUUUUUGGACGAAAUGUCGAAGGUAUAUGCAUCCACGGACAGGAAUGCCAUCUAAUACACCUCAAAUUAGGAAGUAAAUUUGUAAAAUUUCCUUUAAUAUCAUGUGCACCGAGUAUUUGAAGUAAUCGUAAAUUUGACAUUCUUUCGAACAAUAAGGUAGUCAUUUCUUCAUCUGUAAAAGUUGUCAAAUCUAAGACGAGUCCUUCAAUACUAUAGCCCUCCUGCUUUUAUUUAGAAAAAAAGGAGAAUAUUAUGACAUAACCAAUAUAAAAGUCCAAAGACUCUAAAGUAAAUCUUAUCGAAUAUAGACAAAACAAAACCGCCCAUUCUACUUAUUUUAUGGAUGUCCAGACGUCAUAGUAUAUAUCUACUAUAUAAUAUAAUUAAAUAAUCCGAACUAAACAUAUUAUUAAAAAUAAAUAAUUAAAUGUAUUGUUAAUAAACUUUCUAUAGACGGUUUAGGUGGAUGGGCUGACCUUGGACAAAAAGGGAAUUACUAGGUGAUCAGGAACUAGAACUAAAAGAAUGAGCCCUAGUAAAAAUUCUUGUUAAAUUACUUUCUACUUGUAAAGAGGUGUUCUUAAUAUACUGGCUUGGAUCAGUUUUGCAGAGUGAAUAUAAUUAAGACCAGCUAUUAUGAAAAUGGUAAUUACCUCUAGAUUUUGGGAAUCCUUGCAAUCAUUUCCUCUCAAGAACAAGCGUUUACGUUCAUUUCCUCGCAAGAACAAGCGUGUGCGUGUGGUCUUCCCAAGUUUCCUUCCCAUGUCUUGUAUAAGAUUAUGCAUCUCAAACUUAUUAUCUUUAUCAACUGUCAAUAAACAUCUGUCAACCAGAUUUGGUAUUCCAACACCUGGAAAGAAUCCACAAGAUUUGAAUACAUCAAAAGCCUCAUCUUUGUCCUUUCCGAUGAAGAAGAAUGCAAUAUCAAGAAAUAUUGCCUUCUCCGUCUCAUCCUUUAAUUCGUCGUAGCUCAGUUGAAGGAUUUUCUGUAUAUUAUCCUCCGGCAUUGCUUUAACUUUUUCAAGCUUGUCUUUCCAGAAUGACUCAUGUGUUCUACCAAAUAAAGAUGAACCUAGCACCUUAAGAGCUAAUGGAAGACCGCCAGCAUGAGUUGCAAAACAUAGAGAGAGCUCCUUGAAACUUUCAGGCGGCACUGUAUUUCUAAACGCAUGAUAACUGAAGAGCUUCAAUGACUCGAUUUGUCCUAGUGUUUUCACCAUAUAUGUAUCAACUUCUGAUAUAUCAGCCUUUAAUCUAUCUAGUAGAUUUGCAUCUCUCGUCGUAAUAACUAUUUUACUUCCAGCUGAAAACAAGUUGCCAAUGUUUGCAAGCAAUUCUGAAUAGUUUAAACAGUCCAAAUCAUCCAGAACGAUGAGAGCUUUCUUGGAAUGAAGAAUGCGUUUCAGUUUUCUUAUUCCACUUUCAACAUCAGGAACCUUAUAAUCAUUGUUUCUGAGAAGAUCAAUCAAUAAUUGCUGAAGUAAUUGAAGUAAAGUACUGCCUCCUGGUGAAUACUGUUUAACACUUGCACUAAAGCAGCUAAUAUCAAAUUGGUUAAAAUAUAAGUUGUAGAAAGCUUUAGCAAUUGUAGUCUUCCCAAUUCCGCCCAUCCCACAUACACCAAUGGCACGUACAUCAUUAGACUCCAAUCUUAGCUUUUGAUAUAUCUCUUCUACGGCAGAUUCUAUCCCGAAUAGAUAUUUCUCUAGGUGUAAUGCUUUGGUAGAUGCUUGUGGCGCCACAUCCCCUACAAUUUUUUGAAUGGUCUCUGAUUCUCUCCUGUUUUUGAUCAAAAUUUAUAAAAAAAAUUAAUUUCUCAGUUUAUGUAUAUCUUUUAUGUGACCAUAUUACUCUCCUAAGAAUACAAUACAACUAGAAUCUCUGUUAUAAAUUAUAAGCAAAAAAAGCAAGGAGGAAACACAUUAUCAUUAAAUUAGGGAGAGCUUUAGAUUCUUGUGCACUAUUUUAUCGCAGAAAAUUAAUUGUUUUUUGUAUAAUCAGUUUCUAACUGUGUAAGAAAUAAAAUAAAGGUGGACAAAAAAAAUAGGAUAAAGGGACAUACUCAUUGGCUUCUUUUCUGAGAUGGUGUCCUGAAAGCUUAGCAAUUUCAGAUAGAGCUGAUUUCCACUUCUUAAUCUUAUCAACAGAAUAACGCUUCUUAUGACAAUCAAAAGCUUUCCCAAAACUCCCUUUCUGGUGCCCAACAUCUGAUGGAUCAACAUAGUAAAAUACAGGAACAACCUGUUUUUCUGUUCUCUUGCAACUGAGGAUCUCUGCAAGUUCGUCAAGGCACCAUCGCGAACCAGCAUAGUUCUCUGAGAGAACAACGAUAAACAUAUCUGAAUUUCUAAUAGCGUCAAGAAGAGUGGAUGAAAUUUCCUGGCCCUUCUCAAGUGCAUGAUCAUCUAUGAAGGUUUGAAUCCCAGCUUGACACAAAGCAUGGUAAAGAUGUGAAGUAAAGUUACUACGAGUGUCCUUACCGUGAAAGCUCAAGAAGACAUCCCAAGUAGGUGGAGAUGAAGAAGAGGAGGAACAAGAAGAGUCAGUUAACUGGAUAUCACUAGUGGUAUCUGCAGAAGGACAAUGCUUCUUAACAGAAACGAUAAGGAUAAUGAUGGCGAGAAUGACAAGUACAGUGAGUACGGGGAGAGCCCAAAUAAAGACUACUUCCUUUGAGAUAUCCAUUGGAAGAGGAUAGUGUUUCUUAGCAGAAUUUGCUUAGAUGAUGCGAGUAUGAACUACAGUGUGCUAGUUGAUGUAAUAUUGAAGUCAACUUCUACCACAAAAUAGAGGUGUAGUACAUUAAGUGAUUAAGGUGCAUGUAUUUGUGUUUUUAGGAAAUAUUAAUAUAAUCUGCAAAUUGGAAGAUAAAACAAACUCAAAUGACAAGAUAUCAUGGAGGGGUGAUGUUAUAUUCUGAAUACAAAUAAGACAAGUUGUAAUAAAAAGAACACAUAUGGCAAAGCAGGGUACAGUUUUGAAUACAUGACAAAAAAUUAAAGGGUAAAGAAUACUUGAUGAGAGAAAAUUCUGCAAGUGUCUUGACCAUAAAAUACUCAAGAAGACAUGUAGUUGCAUUUUUCAUAAGCUGCCUUGUAGAAAGUGAAAGCAAACACAAAUGACAAAACAUUUACAAAGUUGUAUGGAGGUGGACUGUUUUCACUUUUCAUAUCUUUUGGUUAUAGAUGACAAACUGACAGAAAUUUAUUUAAACAUUUACAAAGUUCCAGGUAGAUGAAGAAAUUACUGUAAAUUAAAACAAGAUUCACCCCAAACUUGCUCGAUUCAACACAAAUGACAAAAACGCAUCUAAGAUAACAAAGCAAUAAACAUAAAUUGGGUGCGCUCAAGAGAACCAAUUCUUAAAAUAGAACCAUGAAACCAUAAAGAUUCUGCUGCAGAACUCUAAAUUUUAAAUAGAUUUUCAAAAUUUAAAAGUGACACUUUUUGCAUGUGCAUAAUACUAAGGGUUCUAGGAGGAACAUGAGCCGUAAAUUAAUGUUGUAAACAAAACUAAAGCAACCCAAGCCAUUAGAUAACAAACAUUGAGAAAAGUAAAAUUAAAAACAUGUGAGGAAUAUACCAAUUAGGGCUCAUAAACUGAUUCUUAUUAGGGCAACAUGAACUUCACGACCGCCCUUGUGCACAUCUUCACUUUCAAUGAGACUUCAGUACUGUCACCAGUUUUAGAAUUCAACUCUGGACUGUACUUUUUUCUCUUUCGUUUUUUUUUGGAAACCCUCUUUCAUUUUUUUUGAAAAUCACCCUGUACUGUACUUCUUCGCCUGUACUCGUUAAUCGUUAUGUACCAAACUCAUGCAAGGUGUAAGAUAUAUAACAAAAUAAUAUUUAUAAUUCAACUUCAGUUUAAUUUAAUAAUAUUUAGAUUUUAAUAAUCAAAAUGAAAUGAUCAAUUUAAAAGAAUAUUAUUUAAAUGAAAAAUAUUCCUCAUAAUCUGGGAUAUGAGAAUUAAAAUAAAAAUUUUGUGAGUUUGAGAAAUAGAUAUUUGAAUAUAAAUAUGAAAAUUAAGAGUUUGGAUCAUUUGGAUUCAUUUUCUGUAUGAAUCUAAAUUUUUAAAGAGGUGAGAGAGGUAAGAAUGUGAAUAAUAAGAUUUGAGUAUUAUGCAAAUCAAAAUGGCCCGAGGCAAUUCUUUCAAAUGGUUAGACUCAGCCAAAUCCAUGACCCUAAAAUACAUGGGUGGACUUUGAUCAUGCUUUUACAAGCACAUAAUUUAGUUUCUCUUUCUCAAGGUCACUAGUGGCUGUUUUGAAAAAUAUAUAGGGCAUAAUAUACAGAGCAAUUCUUUACAGUGACAUUAAUAAACAAAAGUUGAGGGUCUGUUGUAUAAAGAAAUCUCAUUAUGGUCAAUAUGAGUGGAAUCAAUCAAACAUGGAAAAAAAUUGACAAAAUUUACAAGAUACCCAGCAUUUUCUAAUAAUAAUAAUGAACUUAAAUUUUGGGUCCAUCUUGUGCCAAGUGGACUCCAAACAUGUUGAUCUUCACUUCUCCGAUACGCUUUUUGAAUUCAUGAUCAAGAUACGUUUUGCUUCGAAUUGAAACCUUAAUUUUGUCUCCACUUCUGAUUGAGAUUUUGUCUGGCGUAAUGCAUUCUAUUCUUGACUGUGUUUCACCAACUACAAGAUGUUCCAGGAAGAUCGGAUAGUUCUCUGUUGUACCUUCCGUGAUAUUCGUAAUAAUAGCUCUCAUGUAGGGAUAAUCCAGAUGAGUGGGUUUGCACGUAAACACAAGCCAGAGUGCAAGACCUAACAAGUUUGAUCCGGAGCAUGGUGGGAUAUCAAAAGAGACUGCAUGCCCACUGCUUUUAAAGUCGAACCAUUCCGCAACCUCCCUGUUUGGAAGAUAAGCAUAAAAUGGGAGGCACGACGGUCUUCCCUGUAACAUAAAAUAAAACUGUGAAUAGAUUUAUAGAAGUGUGAUUGUGUGUAACUGUGAGACCAACAGCAACAAACCUGAAGGAUACUCUGUUUCAAACUUAUUGAUUUCAGAUUAUUACACCGAACAAAUCUCAAAUUUACCAAUUUCUUCAACAAUGACAGAUCUGGUAGAUCUUGCAGACUUGUGCAUUCUUCAACUGAAAGUGUUCGAAGAAGAGGAGGAAGUAACGAGAUUGAUUGAAGGCUGCUGCAUCUCUCUAUAAACAAUCUUUUCAACAGUUUUAAGCUCGAUAAAUCAGGAAGUUGUUCUAGUGAGCUGUGAUCACACAAGUAUAACCCCUUUAGAUUCAAAGGAAGUUCAGGAAGGGAGGACCCGAGACUUGUACAUUUAUUCAUUGUAAGUUCUUGUAGGUUUAAAAGUCCAGAAAGGCUUACUGGUUCUGCCGAGGAGAGAAUCUGCCCCUCAUCAGUAAGAGUUAACUCUUGCAAAGAAGGGAAACGCAGAAUCAUAGGCAGGCAUAAUCUCACAUUACAACUCAAGUCCAGAGAUGUUAACUUGUUCAAUUUUUCUACUGAUUUAGGUAUACUGACAAUACCCAUAUUCCCUGCCUCAAGGUCUAAUCUUUCAACUGAGGUAAGAUUCCAGAUACUUUCAGGCACAUAUUCAAGCUUCUUGCAAUUACCCAAAUUCAACACUUGUAACCUACUCAGCAGUCGAAUAGAAUCUGGUACUUCUUUAAUUGCUGUUCCAUCUGCACUCAGACUCUCUAAGCAUUGCAUUUUCCCCAAUUGCUCAGGCAGUCGCUCCAGCUUUGGACACUUUCCCAGGUAUAGUUGUUUAAGCAAUUUGAGCUUCCAUAUGUUAUUUGGAAGAUUUUUGAGGCUUUUGCACCAAUCCAAUUCCAGUCUCUCCAAAUUAACGAGGCCUCCAAAUGAAUCUGGUAAUUG